GCAAGUCGUACGAGAACGUCCCGGCUUGCCGGGAUUAGUAAAGUGGCGCACGGGUGAGUAACACGUGAGUAAUUUCCCUCCAAGCUUGGGAUAACAUUGCGAAAGCGAUGCUAAUACCGAAUAAGACCACGGUAUCAUAAGAUACAGUGGGAAAAGGUGGCCUCUGUAUAUGCUAUCACUUGGAGAUAAGCUCGCGGACCAUUAGCUUGUUGGCAGGGUAAUGGCCUACCAAGGCGAAGAUGGUUAGCUGGUCUGAGAGGAUGAUC
rnacentral:rRNA from 1 species